rnacentral:rRNA from 1 species
UACGAAGGGUGCUAGCGUUGUUCGGAUUUACUGGGCGUAAAGGGCGCGUAGGCGGCUUUUUAAGUCAGGGGUGAAAGCCCGCAGCUCAACUGCGGAACUGCCUUUGAUACUGAGAAGCUUGAGUAUAGUAGAGGUAAGCGGAAUUCAGGGUGUAGCGGUGAAAUGCGUAGAUACCAGGAGGAACACCGAUGGCGAAGGCAGCUUACUAGGCCAUUACUGACGCUGAGGUGCGAAAGCGUGGGGAGCAAACAGG